rnacentral:rRNA from 1 species
UACGUAGGGUGCAAGCGUUGCCCGGAUUUACUGGGCGUAAAGGGCGCGUAGGCGGCCACCGCAAGUCAGUUGUGAAAUCUCUGGGCUUAACCCAGAACGGUCAGCUGAUACUGCGGGGCUAGAGUGCAGAAGGGGCAACUGGAAUUCUCGGUGUAGCGGUGAAAUGCGUAGAUAUCGAGAGGAACACCUGCGGCGAAGGCGGGUUGCUGGGCUGACACUGACGCUGACAGCGCGAAAGCUAGGGGAGCGAACGGG